UUGCAUUGUGAUGAGUUCCUAUUACCGCCCCAGUCUGAAGAACAGUGACUGAUUGGUAUUCCUCUGAUCUCAU